CUCACUCCUGCCAAUGACCCGGAAGUAGCGCCGCAGUCUGAAAAAAUGAUAGCUUGCAUCAGUGGCUUCACGUGGGUAUCAAAACAACGUGAGCUCAAACUACGCAAUAGAAGCGUCAUGGGCACAUUAAAAAAUAAAAUAAAAAAAAAAACAGGAGAGCGCACACAAAUGAAAUGCUCGUUUUUUAAAAAACGUGCCCAUGAUGCUCGUUUCUACGUCGUUUGAGCUCACGUUGUGAUAUCCUUUGGAUGCCGAAGCAAAGCUGCUCCAGAUUGUUAGUCGAAUGGAGGGCGAGAGGGUGCGCUGCUGAACCAAAACUCUUGGGAUUCAUAACAUAUUUCCUGACAAACGCCAUGGAUGGCACAGAGGAUGACAUGCUGUGGGAGAAAGAUGGGAUGUUCAUAAUGCAAUGCAGGAGGCACCGGAACUGGACCAAGUCAUCAAUGAUGAGUUCGACAGUGAUGCACCAAAGACUGUGUCGCUAACUAAAACGCUGGUGGGUGGACGGUGCUUAUAAUUAUGGAUGUACCCCUUUAAGAGCCAGAGGUGGGCGGAGUCAGUCUGAUGGCAACUUCAUUGCAACUCUACCACGGAUGGCUUUUUUUGUUGUUGUUGUUGUUGUUCAGUCUUCUCCUGAUUUAACUGAG